GGAGUUGUAUCGAAGUGGUCAUAACGAGCUUGACUCGAAAUCAAGUUGCCUGCAAGGGCACGUGGGUUCAAAUCCCACCAACUCCGCCA
rnacentral:tRNA from 1 species